rnacentral:rRNA from 1 species
GGAAUUUUGCGCAAUGGCCGAAAGGCUGACGCAGCGACGCCGCGUGGGGGAUGAAGGCUUUCGGGUUGUAAACCCCUGUUGCCCGUGAAGAACGGUGCGAUCAGGAAAUGGGUCGCAUUUGACGGUAGCGGGAGAGGAAGCCCCGGCUAACUACGUGCCAGCAGCCGCGGUAAUACGUAGGGGGCGAGCGUUGUCCGGAUUUAGUGGGCGUAAAGGGCGUGUAGGCGGCCUUGUAAGUCGGGGGUGAAAACCCAGGGCUCAACCCUGGGCCUGCCUCCGAUACUGUGGGGCUUGAGUACUCUAGAGGGCAGUGGAAUUCCCGGUGUAGCAGUGAAAUGCGUAGAUAUCGGGAGGAACACCAGUGGCGAAGGCGACUGCCUGGGGAGAAACUGACGCUGAGGCGCGAAAGCUGGGGGAGCGAA